rnacentral:lncRNA from 1 species
CGGAACAUGAGCUCCAGCCAGAAAAGAUUCACAGCUGCCACUCUUUAGUUGCUACUUUAAUGGAAAACACAUGUGCAAGAUACCACCCAGGAGACAACUGUGCUCUGACAAAAGGAACGUCACCAGAAAAUGAGCCACGUGAGAGGACUUAUUCUCUUGGAUAGGCCGAACCCAGAAAGAAGGUUGAUAGUAUUGUUCUUAUAUAAAUAUGUGCUGGUCCAAAGAUGAGAUGUGGGACAGAAAUUGAUCUGUAGCAACCAAGUUGAAAGGCAAUGAUGUAAAUUAGCCCUCAACAAUUCUCACUCUACAACAAUUUUACCAUCAGAUUUGAGGAGUUCUUAGCAAAGUUAACAUGAGGAGAAAUCCUGCAAAGGAAUUGGAAGCCAGGGCACAAUGAUGAGUGCAAUUAUUAAAUAGUACCAUUAAUACACAUUAGUUUCCUCCUAUUAGAGAUAGCCAGCCAGCACUGUUCCAAGUGCUGUACACAUAGCAUUAUGUGUAUAUAUAUAUAUAUAUAUACACACACACACACACACACACACAUCUAUACAUCCCUAAUUUAUAGGGUAGGGAUUAUAUGCAUUAGCUUAGGCUGCCAUAACAAAAUACAUAAAAUGGCUUGAAAACAGGAAUUUCUCAAAGUUCUGGAGAAGAAUGAGAUCAAGGUGCCAGCCAUUUAGACUGAUGAGGGCUCUCUUCCUGGUUCGCAGAUGACCACCUUCUUGCUAUGUCCUCACGUGGUGGAGAAAGAGAGGAUGUGAGCUCUCUGGUCUCUUCUUAUAAGAAGACUAAUCCCAUCAUGAGGUGCCACCCUCAUGACUUUACCAAAGCCUAAUUAUCUCCCCCUAACCCCAACUCCAAAUACUGUCACAUUGGAGUUAAGACUUCAAUAUAUGAAUGGGGGGGGGGGGGGAUACAAGUAAGACCAUAGCAUCCACAUUACAAAUGAAUGAUGUUUUGAGAGGUUAUGGAGUUUAUAAUGGAUCAUUCAGUCAACAAUCAGCACUUGAGCUUGAAUCCAGGGCUGUCUGAUUCUGGAGAAUAAUAUCUACUAUUUAUUGACCAUCCAUUAAGGUCUGGGUGAAUUUAUACAAUAUCUCUAAUCUUCACAGAAAAUCUUGCAAGUCAGUAUUCUUCCCAUUUACAAAUAUGGAAACUCUGGCCUAACUCAGGAACCAUCUGAACCUAAUUUAUUGCACAUAAUGUAUCCUGGUGCUUCUAAAAGUAUGGUCCUCAGACCAGCAUCAUUGCCAUAUUUACAUGGAAACAAAAUAGAAAUGCAACUUCUUGGGCCAAACAACAAACCUACUGAAUCAGAAACUCUUGGAAUGGUGUCUACAAUUUGUGUUUCAACAUGCCUUCUAGGUGAUUCUGGGUCAUGUUAAGGUUUGAGAUCAAUUUGUUCCAUAAAUUUAUUAGAAUAAUUAAUAUAUUCAAAACUCAAUAAUAACUGGUAUAUCUGAGAUUCAAAUACAGGUCUACUUGGUGUCAAAGCCUUUUUCUAAAUGAUACUUCCCCAUCUCAACCUUAUCAAAGGAAGAUCUUGAAGACUGAACAUUUUAAAUGAAGUGUGACUGCAGAGCAUAAUUCUGAAUUCUGCUUUGCCAUUAUAAUGCUAAUCAGCUCUCCUACCUACAGUAAUAUGAUAUAGGGAAAUGUUGGAAGGACAGUCCCUGAGAAUUGACAAUGAUGCAUUCCACUGAUAAAAAAACACCUUGUGAUAUAAACUAGGAAACCAAGCUUUGUGAAAUUUUAAUUUGGGCCUGACAAUUUUGUUUCUCAUUUAGUGAAAAUGAGAAAUAAGCUAGUAUAGGAAACAGUACAGAACAAAGUUUCUUUUUUUAAAAAGUGAAGCUAAUACCCCUUUGAUUUAUUUUUUUUAAAUCAUGCUUAAUUCAUCUGAUCAACCACUGCUUCAUCUCCAUGAAGUUGCUGUAUAGUUACACCAUUUUUCCUUCUGAGGAACAAGACCAUAUUGAAAGUCUGGAUAGUUUACAGAAAGAGAUAGAAGUCUGACUAUAAUGGAAAUGGCUAAUUGUCAGAGAGAGGUGAAUAAAGGAGCUUGAUCUCAUGUCAAGGCCUUUUAAAAUCAUUUGAAAGGCCAAAGCAUUUUGAUAGAGGUUAUUGCCAAUGCAAUUACGAUCACCUACACAUGUGAUCAGUAUCACCUCUAAAGCAUUUGAUUGAAAAUAUUAAUGAGCAUUGCUAGUCCUGCUGUGUUUUACAUGUAGUUAAGCUCCUUUAAUCAUCACAAACAUGUGAGGUCAGUUCUAGGAUUAUUCCCAUUUCACAGAUGAGGGAAUUGAGAUAUAGAUAGGUUUAGUAACUUGCCAGAUUAAGCCUAUUAAAGAACAUUUGCUGGACAUUCGUUCAGACACGGAUGCUUGACUCUGGAUGGAUGGGCUCAGUGUUGCUCUGCAUCUGGAUUCGUUCCAAAGGCCCAUCUGUGAGGCUGCCUGACGCCUGGGGUGGGACGGUGCAGCCUUCAUAGCGUUGGCACUCCAUCUGGAUAGAGUGAAGAAGAGCAGCAGUGUGAUGCUGCAGCAGAUCUGACAAUCCCCUCGCUCUAGUGAGAGACCAAAGUGAUAAAGGGACAGACUGGGAACUAUAAUUCUAUUGGCCUAUUUGUUUUCCACUUGAUUCUUUUUUUUUUUAUUUUUUUAAUGUUUAUUUUUGAGAGAGAGACAGAGCAUGAGUGGGGAGGAGCAGAGGGAGAGAGAGACACAGAAUCCGGAGCAGGCUCCAGGCUCCGAGCUGUCAGCACAGAGCCCCACACAGGGCUCGAACCCACAAACCAUGAGAUCACGACCUGAGCUGAAGUCAGACGCUUAACUGACUAAGCCACUUAGGCGCCCCUGUUUUCCACUUGAUACUUGAAAAUAAACCUAGUAAUCAUUUAGUUUGUGGUUUUCAUAACUUCACUGACUCCUAACACAUUUGAGUCAAUGAGGCGAGGAUUAGCAUGAUCUGUAGACGUUCAAACUUCUCAUAUGGAAGAGGAAUUGAAAUCCUUUAAAAACAUAUCACCAGCCAGCAGAAAGACGUCCGUGUUUUUCUGCUUCAGAGUUGUAAAUGGAUGUGACUUAAGCCCUAAUUGGGAAAGACUGUGUGAUUUAUAAUAGCAGAUAUUCUUUUAAGUAAACUUCCCAUACUCUUUUAUUCCAUCUACCAAAAAAAAAGCUGUUUUCUGCAGAGCAUGUGGAGGUGAAAAGGGCUUUCCAAAGAAAUUGUUGUGUGUGAUUUUUUAUUCUGUCCUGGUUUGGGAAGUUCAUCUGAGCCUAAGAUCAUCGUGUGCAGCUGACAGGAAGUUUGCUUGAUGGCUUUUGCCUUUCACACCCCUGCUCCCUUUAUCUAAACAGACAGAUUUCCCACUUUCAUACUUCUUCCCCCCUUCUUCCUUCCGUUCACGCAUACCUUCACUCUGCCCAUCCACUCUGAUUCUAUUCACUGACACCAGAAGGAACCCUCUGGAAAGGGAGGUAAAGGUUCUAUAACAUCCAGGGGAGGCUUUUAGUGCAGUAAUUAAUUAAUCAAUUGUCACUGCAGGCUAUGUCCAGACUUCCCAAAUUGUGUAGGCUGAGAGCCUCCUAUUUUGAGCCCCUCUUUUGCUCCUUUGUAAGCAUUUGAGCUCAUUCAAUGUGCUGGGAGCUCCAGAAAGAGCCAGGACCUAUUCCUUGCCCUUAAUGAGCUCAUGCUUGCCUGGGUAGAGGUGAGUGGGUUUAUGGGUAACAAAGCUCUCCCUAGUUUAUCUGAACCCAAAUAGAUUCAUUUACAGGGCAAUUUCUCUUAAAACCCUGUAUGAAGAAGGUCCUGUCAGGCAUCAAAUUCACGAAUCUCCUGGGUCGAGAAUGGUAAGAUUUCUGGUGUAAAAUGAUGAGUUUGGGAAUCAGACCCAUUUAAGUCCAAAUCCCAACUCUGCCUUGGACAAGCUACUGAGUCUCACAGCGUCUCAGUUCUCUGUACUAUAAAAUGGGAAUGAAACUGGCCUCAAGAGUCUGCAUGAGGAUUAAGUGAGAAAAUGUCAUACAAAGCACCUGGCAUAAUUCCUAGCACACAAUAAAGGUUUGUUUCCCUUUUCUUUUUCCUCCCUUCUUCCCAGACCUCACAGGAAGAGGGGUGUGGCCUCUUUAAUGAGAGGACAUGAAAGAGGCUUUAAUAAUAUCAAACACUUCUAUAUCACCUGCUACGUCCCAGGCACCAUUCUAAACUCCUUACAUAUUUUAACUUCCCCCCAAAAUGCUAUGAGAUAAGCACUAUUAUUAUCAUCUCCACUUCAUAAGUGAGGAAACCAAGGCACAGAGAUGCCAAGUAACUUGCCAAGGUCACACACACUGUGAUUCAUACCCAAGUUAUCUAGCUCUUAACCAUCAUGCUAUCAGGAGGCAGAUCAUGAGAAAAAAGCUAACUGCGGCUGGAAUCUGAGUACACAAACCAGAAGUCCUCAGAUAAUGGGCUCUAUUUGUUUGGCAGUGUUUUAAAAAUCAAGAGAGUCCACAUUAGAGCCUAUAUUUCUGACUUCUCGCAAAAAAAGUUGGAAGAUCUGGCAAUAUGCAGCCAUCCUUGUGGCAAUAAGCCACUGACUGGUGACUACUCUCUGGACUAAACACAUUUUCUCUAGUUCAGCACAGUUACCAGUGUUCACAGUUUUAUUAGGUAGGCCCAGCUUCACUUCUGACCUGCACAUGCAUUUGAGCUUGUGAUCCAGAAUUAGGCAAUGCACUAAACAUACUCUUGUCCAUAAAGAUACAAGAACUAUGUUCAAUAAUGUACACCCAAUGGUCAAAAUAUUUGAAUGACAUGAAAGCACAAAUGAAUGCAGAAAAGAAGUCUGAGUAAGAAGCAAUCAACAAUCAGGUUCAAAUCACAACCACUUAUUUAAGUGUGGAUUGGCCUUUGAGCCAUAUGUGCAAGACUGUACACAUUUCCACACCUAAACCAAAAGCAAAAAAUGCAGGUUUUCUUUUAGGCCAUAGGGCUAAGAACCAUUUGCCUUCAAUGUUAAAAACAUCCUUCUUUGUUUGGCAUAUCUGGAUAAGGUAGCUUAAAUUUUCAUGUACUACUUAAUUCAAGCAAUAACUUCUAACUCAUUUUCUUCUUUUAGCUCUUUGGGCCUUGGUGAUUGGCACGAUCUCGGAGAACAGACAGGUAUAUAGCAAAACUCUCCUAGAAACCUGGAAAAUGUGGGGAGGAAAAGGCAUGGAACCUUCUCUGUAUAAGCCUAUGAGAGAAAAGGAAUCACUUCAAUUUACAAGGAAAGAAACUGAGACUAAAGAGCUAUCCAAGACCAUAUAGCCAGCUGACCCAGCAUAUUCUGAGCUGAGUCUAUGUUCUUUCUAAGACUUAAUACUACCUUUCUCAGAGUCUAUCAACCUAAAAAUCAUGUUUAAAGAAGUGAUCUAUGGUAUCACCAUUUGUACCAAAAUGAUAUCACACACCCUGUGUGAUAUCUUCCUAACAAAUCUAUCUUUGCCCAAGAGGGAGUUCUAAUAUUACUCAUCAAUAACCCUGGCUUUGUAACAUCUGAAUUUUUUUUGUUUUACCUUCUCAGUUUUAUUAAACUGAGAUCAAAAUAAACCUCAUUUUUUUUACCAGUUUAUAAUCAUUUUAUUAUGAACCUGCAGUAGGGCUUAUUAUUUACAAAUCACUAAGUGAAAUUUUUAAAAACCAUUUUCUUCCUCUAAUCUCUCCCAUCCUGCUUUCUUAGAAGUACACAAAGCAUUUCAACCACUCCCAAAUUCCCUCUUGAUACCCUUAAUGAUUCUGAAAUAUUUUGUUAUUCCCCAAACACCGCCCUAAAGACAAAUCAUUGGACUCCAGGCUCUUUACACUGCCAAGUUGAAUAGAAUUCAAAUGUUCUAUCUAACUAGACUCUAACUUACAACAAAGACACAUAUAGUAGAUGAUGUGUAAGAUAUUCCAAAAAUACCAAGGCAACAGGAAAAAAAUCUCUGUCAUCAAGAGGUCCUCCCAGAAUUUCUUGUAAUCUGAAAUAAUAAUUUCUAUCAGGACCCUGUAACCUGGUCCUACCACAUAUGUGUAUAUCCUAAUACACUAAUAACAUAAGUCAUCUUUCAUCCUAGUAAUGUAUAACUCAAGAUUUCUCAAUUAAUAUUACAAAAUUUAUUAUUGUUUCUGUAAACAUGAGAGCAUGCACAAAGACUUGAGGAGGAAAAAAAAACAAGGAAAAUAAAAAUAUCCUGGUAAAAUAAAAAUUUUAAAUAAAAUUUUAAGUCAUUUAAAAUACAACAUUGUUUUUUAAUUAAACCAUUCCACAGCAUGGCAUAAAUGUGAAAAUAGGACGCAGAAAGACGUUUUCCAAAAUAAUAUGGGACCCACUAGAAAUUUCUUUUAUGUUAAAAAAAAGUGGUCCAUGGAAGAACAGUUUUCCAAUUGACCAAAGCAUAACCAGGCAUCUCUUCCACUAGAAGUUUCAUCAAAAGACACACUUCCCCUUACCUCAAAGUUUCAAUUCCAGAACCACUUCUUGCCCAAGUUUACUGGGAGUUUUUUUAAACUUUGAGAUAAUCUCACUUAGAAGAUCUUUGGAGGCAUGUAAAGUUUAAGGUAAAUUCUCUUACUAUUUUCAGAAGCAUAUGAACAAAAAAGCAAACUAUGUAAAGCUCCAUAAAAAAUGAUUGAAUUUAUUUUUCCAACUGUAAGCUCCUUGAAGAUAAGGAUUCUCCUUUUCUUCCAUCACUGUUGUAUUACCUGCAUCUAAAAUAAUGCAGAGCACAUAGAAGAUACUUAAUAAAUUCAGUGCUUACAUUAAUAACCUGAAAAAUUCUCUGCAGCCCUGCAAUUUUCAAAGGUUUCAUCAUACAGUUUUCCAUGGCUCUUCAGUUCACUAACCAUAAAGCCACCUGACCUGAAAGAAACCCCAGAGACCGAACAGUAAUUUGCUCUGUCCAUUAACUCACAGAUUUAUAGAGUUUUAGAGCUAUUGGGAUGUUGGAACCUGCCUUUGAACUCUUUUCUUUAACAUAAGAGGAAAGUGAGGUCUAAGCUCUCAGGUUAAGUGACUUAGCCUUUAUUAUCCAGCUGAGAGGUGCCAAAGCCCAUCUUGUUAUUUCCUAUACCUGCCUCUUCACUUCCCAAAAAAAUACUUGUAGACUUGAGGAUUUCAUCUUUAAUACCCUCCCAGAAAUCGCACAUGGUUUCCCCUUAAGCCGUGGUGGAAUGGGCCACAAUUUUAAUAUAAUGUACCAAUAGCCAGGGGUUUUGCUCAACUGAAAAACAGGUGUUUGACUGACUUGCAGGGUCUUGCUUUGGGGGAAAGAUCUGUUGAGUCCACCUGAAAACCUUAAAUGUUUUAAUACUCUUACAUUACUUCAUGAAUAGCUCAGGGGCUGAGGGUGGGGCAGAUAUUGUUGUUUCCUGUCCCUCAUGUAUUGAGACAGAGGAGCAAAAACUUCAAUUUGGCCACAAGAGGGCAGCUACAACAUUUCCUCCUUGAUUUUUGCAGUUCUAACCCAAGGACAAACGUUAUUUCAAGGGCCCAGCCUGCCAUAGAUCACUGAUAGCAACUUUCAACCGAAUCCUCAAUAUGUCACAAAACAUUCUUUCACGGUGUUUCUUGGGACUUUUUUGUUUUGUUUUUAAACAAAUUAUUUUCCAACUUCUUUCCAGAUCUAGAGAGCCCUCUUUUAGAACUCUGUGCCAAGAUGACCAUCUACAAAGAUCUUUGGAGACCAAUAAAUCAUUAGGCUAAUUUGGAAACCCACAGAAGAGGUUUUAUUUUAAUUAUGCUUGACCCCAGAUAAAAAUAAAAACAA